CAGUCGCCGCGGUAAUACGGAGGGAGCUAGCGUUAUUCGGAAUUACUGGGCGUAAAGCGCACGUAGGCGGCUUUGUAAGUUAGAGGUGAAAGCCUGGAGCUCAACUCCAGAAUUGCCUUUAAGACUGCAUCGCUUGAAUCCAGGAGAGGUGAGUGGAAUUCCGAGUGUAGAGGUGAAAUUCGUAGAUAUUCGGAAGAACACCAGUGGCGAAGGCGGCUCACUGGACUGGUAUUGACGCUGAGGUGCGAAAGCGUGGGGAGCAAACAGGAUUAGAUACCCCGGUAGUCCCUGUCUCUUAUAC
rnacentral:rRNA from 1 species